CCACUGUUUAUUACAGAAUAUCUUAUGAACAGAUAAGGUUUCAGAGUUGUUCUCGCGUAACCACAGUUUAGCUACUGUCUCAGUUUCCUAGGGCUUAGUUUACCCUACAGUCUCAGUUUUGUAGCCUUUACGCUAUAUUAUCUAUAGUACUAUCUCUAAGGUUUAGUACUAACUACAGUACAGUUCAGUAUAUAAAACAGAAUAGUACUUACAGCCUU
rnacentral:lncRNA from 1 species